rnacentral:rRNA from 1 species
GACGAACGCUGGCGGCGUGCCUAAUACAUGCAAGUAGAACGCUGAAGGAGGAGCUUGCUUCUCCGGAUGAGUUGCGAACGGGUGAGUAACGCGUAGGUAACCUGCCUGGUAGCGGGGGAUAACUAUUGGAAACGAUAGCUAAUACCGCAUAACAGUAGAUGUUGCAUGACAUUUGCUUAAAAGGUGCAAUUGCAUCACUACCAGAUGGACCUGCGUUGUAUUAGCUAGUUGGUGAGGUAACGGCUCACCAAGGCGACGAUACAUAGCCGACCUGAGAGGGUGAUCGGCCACACUGGGACUGAGACACGGCCCAGACUCCUACGGGAGGCAGCAGUAGGGAAUCUUCGGCAAUGGACGGAAGUCUGACCGAGCAACGCCGCGUGAGUGAAGAAGGUUUUCGGAUCGUAAGGCUCUGUUGUAAGAGAAGAACGAGUGUGAGAGUGGAAAGUUCACACUGUGACGGUAUCUUACCAGAAAGGGACGGCUAACUACGUG